rnacentral:lncRNA from 1 species
GCAUAUCAUCGAUUCUUAGCUCAAUUGGGGUGAUAAUCAACCCCAAAAUUGUCAGCAACCCAAGGAAAUUUAGUCCGGACAGUAUACAAGCUCACGUGUUCAGAAGUUUAGGCAAAUUAACAGGGGAUUCGCACCAAAAUAACACCAUGGCAAACUCAUUUCAGAAGUUUGAGAGAAACUGAAAUUUGAAGAAAAUAACUUACAGGGCUAUAAAUUCUGAAGUCGAAUUGAAUCUGGGGGGGUGGCGCUGACGGUAGACGGCUCUGUGGAGAUGGCAGUAGAAGCCCCUGCUGCUUUGAUGGCUACGGUGGCAGCAACGGCAGUGGGAGUUGAAAGGCGGCAGCAGAGGUGGAGAGUAGCAUACAGCAACAACGACGAGUGCGGCCUGGAGGUGGCUUGGGCAAGCGGUUGGCUGCUUGUUGGUCGCGCUGGAGAAGAAAGGUGGCGCACGAGGUGGAGGUGCCGUGGCGGAGCUCGGAUUGCGGCGGACCUCCUGGUCUUUGUUUCCUCACUUUGCGUUUAGUUCCUUUGCCUCUGCCCGAAAUUCCUCCUCCAAAUUCCAGAUUUCGGCUGCCAGUUUCUUUUUUUUUUAGUUCCGUUUCUUGCUCUUCCUAAAUUCCUCUCAGCUAUCUUCUCCGUUUUCUGUUCCCUUUACUCUCCGCAGCCCCCUUCUCUGUUCUUUAGCCUUUCCUUAGCCGAAUCCUCCCCUGUU